rnacentral:misc_RNA from 1 species
GAUGAAGAACGCAGCGAAAUGCGAUACGUAAUGUGAAUUGCAGAAUUCAGUGAAUCAUCGAAUCUUUGAACGCAUAUUGCGCUCUCUGGUAUUCCGGAGAGCAUGCUUGUUUGAGUAUCAGUAAACACCUCAACUCCCUUUUCUUUUUUGAAAUGGGAGCUGGACUUGAGUGAUCCCACACUUUUCUCACUGGAAAGUGGCGGGUCACUUGAAAUGCAGGUGCAGCUGGACUUUUCUCUGAGCUAUAAGCAUAUCUAUUUAGUCUGCCUAAAAAACAGAUUAUUACCUUUGCUGCAGCUAACAUAAAGGAGAUGAGUUCUUGUGCUGACUGAUGCAGGAUUCACAGAGACAGCUUUGCGGCUGACUUUGUAAACUCGAUCUCAAAUCAAGUAAGACUACCCGCUGAACUUAAGCAUAUCAAUAAGCGGAGGA